GUGGGGAAUCUUGCGCAAUGGGCGAAAGCCUGACGCAGCCAUGCCGCGUGAAUGAUGAAGGUCUUAGGAUUGUAAAAUUCUUUCACCGGGGACGAUAAUGACGGUACCCGGAGAAGAAGCCCCGGCUAACUUCGUGCCAGCAGCCGCGGUAAUACGAAGGGGGCUAGCGUUGCUCGGAAUUACUGGGCGUAAAGGGCGCGUAGGCGGACAGUUUAGUCAGAGGUGAAAGCCCAGGGCUCAACCUUGGAAUUGCCUUUGAUACUGGCUGUCUUGAGUACGGGAGAGGUGAGUGGAACUCCGAGUGUAGAGGUGAAAUUCGUGGAUAUUCGGAAGAACACCAGGGGCGAAGGCGACUCACUGGCCCGUUACUGACGCUGAGGCGCGAAAGCGUGGGGAGCAAACAGGAUUAGAAACCCGAGUAGUCC
rnacentral:rRNA from 1 species